CAAACGGGUGCCCGCUACAACCUGCCCGACACCUGGGAGCUCCUGCACUAAGCUAGACCUGGUAGUGCUUGGAGGUAUGAAUUGGCUGAAAGCACUUACAAAAGCAUUCAUGUUUGGCUACUGACCAUGGACCAUAAAAGAGCACAAGGUACUCUAAACACUACAACGAGCUGUAACGGUUAGGGUGCUUGGAUUGUUCCAUCAAAAAUUGAAAGUCAGCUCCAGCCUGA